rnacentral:lncRNA from 1 species
AAAGUGGAGAUGGUAACGAACCAGUGAUGAGGUUCAUAUCAGAAGGAACAAUGCAUUCAUCAUAUCCAGUGUCAUCAUCCUCUCCCGUUUCCGCAGGAAGGCGCGUGCCGUGUCCGCUGUAGUGCACGAACAGCACGUCUCCGGCCUCCGCCGAUCGAAUCAGUGAGGUCAACGCCGACCGGAUGUUCUUCCCCGUGGGCUCCUUGUACGAUUUGUCCGUGUCGAUCAUAACGGUGAUGUCGUCUUUGGAGAAGCCGUAACGGUCGACGAGGCACCGGUGCAUUCGCCACACGUCGUUGAUGCAACCUUUGAGCUCCGCCUUGGUACCCGGGUAGUUGAUUCCGAUCAACACUGCCUUUUUGGCCAUUGCAAUAGAGAGCAGGUGUGUGAAUCUCUCUCUCUUUCUCUUACUUUGUUUUACCUCAGAACUGACGAAAGAAAGAGUGUUUGUUCUUUUAUAACAAAAACAACUUUUCAUUAAUUUCUUUUUUCUUCUAAGCCUUUAGUCAAUAAAUAAUAAAUAUUCUCAAUUAAUAUUUAUUUUGCUUUCGUUAAUGGAAAUUGGAAAAAUUGAUUAGCCAAAUUAAUAAGAUUAUUAUCAGAGCUCAUUACGUGGGUUUAGUUUAAGUCUGCACGCGUUAAUAUAUACUGUAAAAGUAUCUGGUCUGUAUAGUGCACGUUUUAAAUGAACUUUAAUGACUAUAAUCAAUGUCUAAUUUCUAAAAUAUCAAAGUUAAAUGAUUCACACGUAAUAUAUUAUGAGUUUUUAUAGUAUAACUUAAUUAAUGUAUAUUACUUCAUAAACUUCAUCAUUUUUACCUCAGUUUUUAUUAAUUUGUUCAGUAUUUAUAAUAUGUGUAUCUAAUUAAAUCUUUAUCGUCAAUUAAUUGAGUGAUGUAAGUGUUACUUUAUACUAAGUCCAUUAAUUCAACUUGUUAUUGACACAAAGUACAUAAAUUUGUAUCUAAAAUCACAUUUUUUUUUUCAAUUUGGGUGUUGGAGUAGUGAGUAAAAUCUCGAAGCACAUAAACAAUAUCAUCUUUAAAAAAUAUGUUGUUGACACGUCUGAAGUGUUUACAAUGGUUCAACUAAAGGUUUAGUCUUAGAUUUCUUCAAAAUCUUGUUUUGGUUUGUUCUCCUAUUCUAGUUGGUGUUUGGACUUUUUGACUUCUAUGAAGAUAGUUUCUUGAUGUCUUGUUUGAGAAUUUUUAUUUUAUUUGGUUGUGUGGCUUUGUCAGUACGGUAAGUUGUAGGAGGAGGAUAAAGUGCAAUGUUGAACCACCCGUAAGUGGUUUAUAUUUAUUAAUUUUUUAUUAUUAAUAAAAACAAACAUUUCUUUUUUACAAUUUUUUAGUUUAAAUUCUAUUCAAGCCAAUUUUCAUACAAAAUCAUAAAAGUUACUUAUUUUUUCACAUUAAUUCCAAUAUUGUGUUAUAUUAAUUAUAACAUUUCACAUUUGUGGACAUAAAUAAGUGCAAGAUAGCAACCACGUUACUCACUUAAUGAAAAAAUUAAACAAAGAAUGAGUUGAAAAUAUCCAAACGAGAAACUUAAACUUAAUUAAGUUUAUAAUAUUAAUUUGCAUAACAAUAAUUUACUUAAACAUUAAAUAAUGCAUGAUGAAUGUAAAAAACAACAAUUAUCCGAAAAAAAAUAAGUUAACCACCCUUAAUUAGGAUUAGACGGGUUUAUGAAUUUUUGCUUAAAUACCAAACUCUAAUAUUAUUAUCAUAUUCUUUUUCAUACCUUAAAAAUGUAAAAAAAAAAAAAACAGAUAGAAAAACUACUUCAGAAUAAUGUAAAACUGUAAUUAAAAUUAUUAAUAAUUUUAAUACUAUUAAUUAUGUUAAUUAAGAUUUAAUAUUUUUUUCUUCUGUUAUUUUAUUCUCUAAAAAACUCAAUUUUUGUUUUAAAUUUGUGAAUUUUUUUAUAGUAGUAUCUGAAUUUCUAAAAAAUGUUAAAUAAAAUCCGUGAAUAAUGUUAAGUUUGCUGAGGAAUGUAUUCACACGGUAAAUUGUCAAUCGUAUCAUUCAACUUUUAUUAAUUCACAUAUUUUACUACUUAAUUGACCUAUUUUCUCAUUACAUAUAUAUAUAUAUAUAUAUAUAAUUUUAUAUACUUCACUGAUAUCUUAAAUGGGAAUGGAAUAUUGUCAUGUUCCUAAAACGACUUUACUGAUGAUAAUUGAGGUUUAAAAUGAAUAAUAAAUUAUAAAAUGGUGAGACUAUUAUUUCUUAUAUUAAAAGUUAAAAUGUUAAUAAUUUUGAUGUCAAAGAUUUAUUUGAUUUAUUUUUUUCUAAUUUUAAAACCUAACAUGAGAAACACGUUAUUAUUGUUCUCUGCCUGGUGUUGUCAUAGUGUGCUGGCAUCGCUAUUAUUUUGAUAUUUUAAAUUAAAAAUAAUAUGGUUUUGUAAUAAUUCACAGCAGUUCAAUGUACCUCCCCAUCUUCAACAAACCAUUAACUCAUUGCAAUAAUAUUUAUUUUAUUAAAAGCUUUAGGCAUCAUUAUAUAUAUAAUUUGACAUCUAAGCUUUCACAUUUAAUAUAAUUUAACACUUUGAAGUAAUAACAAUAUUAUCAUAUAAAAAAAAUAUUAUUAAAAAAAAAAAAUAUGAAAAAUUAAACAAAAACGUAUAUGUUAACAAAAACGAUACAUAUGUAGACUAUAUCUAUCAUAAACUAAAUGAAAACCUAUUAUACUAAUAAAAUGAUUCUCUAUAAAUAAAUCAUAAAUUAAUCAACUUAUCAGUACAUACCUUUUCUUCAUGAGAAUGAGUCAUUACACUAAUAUUUGCUCAUUUGCUAAUUAACUUAAUUAAUAUGUCAUUAAAAUCAUGUUUUUUUUUAUAAAAACUUUUAUGUUAGGUAUCACUAUGCGAAUCUUAAAAUCAUAUUUUACAAAUUUUGUGAAUUACAUUACUAGAUAAAGAUUUGUGUUCUACAUAGUUACAUAAGAAAUAAUUUUUUUUAUGUAAAAAGAAAUUCAAAAUUAAAGAAAAUUUCCAAAAAAAAGUGUGUAGAUUAGUUAAAAUAAAUUUUUUUAUUGUUAAUAUUUCACUAAUAUAUAUUCAUAACAAGAAAGAGACACCAUUUUCAUUUAUAAUUCAUUAUUUGAACUUUUAAUAUACAUUAAGAUGGAAGAUUGAAAUUGAAGACGAUAAUGAUUAUCUAAUCAGGGAGAAAUGUGGGUUAAGUAGAGAUUAAACUUUGGAAGUUCCAUGAGUUUAAGGUCAUUUCUGGAAUUCUGGAGCUACUAAAACACACUACCUCCACAAGGUUAUCUAAUCUCUUACAUUUGUUUAUUUAUGUUUUGAUUUAGAUACAUUAGUAUGAAUUAAAAUAUUGUAGAAAUGAGAUUAUUUAAUGAUAUGAAUAAAUAGAGAUCAUGUUAAUUUUGGCUCAUAUGGAGUGUUUAAUAGCCUUUUUGGGUUGGAUGAUGACUUUAUGAAGUUUAGAGUGUAAAACUAGUUGUCUUUGUUAGCAAAAACAUGAUAAGAAUGUUUAAUUUUUUUGUUAAAUUAAAUGGUGUAACUAACUUGACUGUGUUGUUUCCUUUGAUUUUGUAUUUAUUUCUUGAACAACGCUCAACAAUGAAUGCUAAUUAUUUAUACUAAAUAUUUUCACUUAAGCAGUCUCUGGAUACCCAAACAACAAUAUCUUUUUCUUAAGCAAUGACUUGACGCAUAGUAAAAGAGUUGUCGAAAAACAUCUCUCUUAUUUGGGACUUUCAACGCUCAAGCGACAAGUGGUUACUCAAGUGAUGAAAGAUUUAUUGAAUGAUAAGAUUCAUCCUUUGAGCGAUAUUCUAUCACUAAAGCGAUGCACUUUUUGAAGAGAUAGAAUUGACAUUAAAUUUUUUCACUCUGCUAAUGAUACAAAGAUAAGUUAAGCUCCUAUAAGAUGCUAAGUCUCAAUCUUCUAGUCUUGCUAUUAACACUAAGUUUUGAUCAUAACAAAUAAAACAAUUUUGGUUCAUCUAAUAUUAGCUACCUAGUGUGAAACAAGUACUAGAUGAAAUCAAAAGACGACGUCUUAUCACAAACAAUGAGCAAGAUGUAAGAUGAAGAUUCAAGUACAAAUGCAUUGGCAUAUUAACUUGAAAUAGGCACUUAUCAUAGAAGUAUAAAUAGAUCAACAAUGAACGCGUGAAAUGACUAGACGACCAUGUCAAGAAUAGGCACACAAAUUCGUUAGCAUAUACCUUGUUAUCAUAGAAGACUUUAAUAUUAGAUGUAUGUCUUAAAAGAUUAAACUACAAAAAGGCUUGAAGAAACCAAGUUAAAGUAACCUUAGAUGAGGAAAAAUGUAAGUAAAGACUGGACACAUAGAACAACAAUAAACACAUACAAUAUUAGGUGCUAAAGCAAAGAACAAAUGAGUCUUCAAAAUCAUGAAGAACAAACAACUUAUUUAUAGUAAAAUAGACGUCAAAACAUAUGUGUCCAACACUAGACACAUCAUUGAGAUGUUACAUCAUCAAAAGCCUACAAGUUAACCAAAAACAUCUUUCAAAGAAGAUUUUCAUACAUAGUAUCAUUCAUCAAUGUGCGAAAGCUCAUUUUUGGUAAUGUUAGUGAUACACAAAUUUCAGAGAGAUAAAGUGAGUGCUUUAGUCAUCUCAUCAUACUAGAAAACAGAGAAUGCCAACGAAAAGCCAUGAAUCUUUGAAGGCAUUGACUGAAGAUACUUUGAAGCACACAACCUUCAAUGGUUAUCUCUUGACAUCUAAUAUAAGAAAAUAAAUCCAUCUAGAAAAUGCUUAAGGUUAUCAAAAAUAUUUUCCAUAAGCCUUACAUGCAUGAGAUUAUUUUGAAAAAGCUUCAAGUGUUGAAAAUGUAGUUCAUCUUCUAGAUGACUUAGAUAGAAAGUGAUAUUUGUAAAAUUUUAAUUAUUGUGAAAUAGUAUCUCUAGAGCAAGGAAAACAUAUUAUUUCAUAUCCAUUAGUGUGUAACUUGUAAUCAAAUAUCAUCUCUUUUCAAUUCCUUCUAAAUUUUAUGAUUUGAAAGAUGAAAGGAAAACAAUUCAUUAAUCUUAGAGAAAAAUAAGAGAAAACAACGUUUUUGAGAUAUUACCAUUUAAAAUAAAAGAAGAAUAAAAUAUUAUAUAUAUAUAUAUAUAAUUGUAUAACAAAAUAAUUAAAAUAUUCAUUCCUCGCUUAUAUAAUCUUUUAUUUAUUUUCAUUAAUAAAAGUUCUUAAAUACUUUAGUUGCGUUCUAAAUAUUUUGUGCAAAUAUUAGUUUCAUUUAAGUCUAAACAACAUCAUCUAUUUUGAGAAAAUCUUCUUUUCUUGCAUAUAUAUAUAUAAUACAAUUAUAUUGUUUAUUUAGUUAUUUUUGCACAUACAAGUAUGUGUGCCUAUUUGAAAGCACAUUGCAUAUGAUAAGUAUGCUAACUUAUCAAUGUGAUCUUCUGUGUAGUUGAAACAAGAGCAUUAAAGACAUAUGCUUAUUCUCUCUAAAGGCACAACUAAUGCAUUAUGUUUGUUUAUUUGUUUUGCAAAGAAUUUUCUUGGUAAAGGAAAUCAACUUUACAUUAUUUCAUAGCUAAUAUUAAAGUUUCAAAUACUCAAAAGUCAAGUUGCAUCAGAAAACAUACUUUAUAGUUGAAGCCUCUUUGAAUCACUUGUAAAAUCUGAGUCAUCUACUUUUUGUGUCAAAGUAAAGUGACAACUCCUGAAAAAGAAGCUAAAGGUAAUGCUCAGUAAAAAUAAGCAAAUUGAGUUAUCAUAAAAGGAGACUGGUUAGUUAAACAUAUUUAAUAUGCUCUUAUGAAAACAACUUGCAAUGAUUUUAAUGCAAAGUUAUCAAGUACUCCAAUAUUAAUCUCAAUAGAUGAUGACCAAUGAAGAAGUUGAAGUCAAUGAGACAAUGACUAGUUGAAGCCUCUCUUAGUAUAAAAGGGAGAAGACAGAGAACAAUAAUACACUAAUAUAGAGAACCUAUUCGUGAAAACACUUUGCAUAUCAUACUCAAAAGUUCUAAAGGAGAUUUAAUAAGUCUCAAAUUAAUCUUGUUUUUAUGUAGAGUGAGUUUGAAUAACAAUGGACAACAAUGAAGAGAUUUCCUCCAUUUCUCCUAUUUUCUGAACGCCUGAAAAAAGAGAUACAACUAAACAUAAUAUAGUAUACAACCUUGUUCAACAAAAUUCAAAUCCUCACAAAGCUCAAGAAUAAUUCAAAUGACACAAAAUUUAACACUAUAUUUUAUAAUAAUUUCACUUACACCAAUGUGUUCAGAUUCGAAAUCUGAGGUCUGGAGCAUGGACCUUGUUCUGAUAGUUCAGUCUCCCAGCACAAUGAAUAUAACAAGAAAGACACUAUAAUUUUAUUUGUACAUACCUGAUAGCAGAGCAUGUAUGAAAGCAAUAACUUCAUUUUCAUGGUCCAAACAUACACAGCAAUACAUAAGCAUAUAGUAUAAACAACUAAACAACACACAUUAUUCUCUCUCUUUCUCUGCAUCAGAUAGGCACAGAUCAACACACAAAAGGAGCAUCAACAUGGUGAUCACUGCAGUAGAGUCCAGGUUUCUGAGUGAAACCCUCCUUCUUGAGCUUCUCUCGUGCUUUCUGAACAAGUUCGUGGUUUGUGAUUGAACCAUUACUCUCCUCAAUUAUUGCCUGUAUUGCAUUGCUAAAAGCUCCAUAAGCAUUGGCAGCGUUUCCUGGAGGACUUGCAUCUGCAGAAGUUUGGUCACUCUGACAUCCACUCAUCAGAAUCCCACCAGCCGGAAGGCUGUGUUUGGAUGAUCCAGCAUAUGCCUCCUGCUUACUUUCCACACGUGUCUCCAGUGCAGGCUUUGCAUAUCCCUCAUCAUUCUCAUCAAUCUUAUGCUUGAGAAACUCUUGGGCAAGACCACCCACCAACCCCAAUAUUCCACCCCCACCUUCACCACUUCCUUGUUGGAGUUUAUUCAAAAUAACAUUCAUGAACUUCACUUUAGGACUAGAAUCUUCCCCAAAGACAUCGAAAAGGGUAGGUCUGAGUUUCCCAACAUCAAUAUCAUCUUUCCCAGUUUUCUGCUUGAGUAUGUCAAUGAGGGUUGAAAGGGGCAAAGAUCUAUUCUUCACAUAGCCAUAGUUCCCAUGUGGAAGAUCAAUAUCUCUAUCUUCAGCCUCAUCAUCAUCAUCCCUGCCUCUGUGGUGGCGCAAACCUGAAGGGAUAUGGAAUCCGCGAGACUCAAUGGCAUCUUCCACCUUCCGAUGCAGAAAGUUUGAAAAUCCAAAGCCAGAGCCAGACUGUUCUUCCUCUCCCUUUGUACUCUCUCCGAUCUGCUCCUUAGCUUCUUCAAGUAGGCCACCACUGUGGCAAGAAUCAGACACAAUUGUGAUCCUGCAACCUCUAGGGAUCCCAUCCACAAACUCCUUGAAAUCAUCAUCUGUUUUCACAGACAUACACAAAUAGUCAGUUACUUCCCACAAAAUUUCAUGCCGAUGCAACAAUGUUCCAUCUCAAACAUAACAAUUUACUUCUACUAUGUUUGAAUAAAGUAGCUAUUAACAUAAGAAUUAAGAAUGAUUUUGGCCUGGGAUAAUUCCCUGAAUCAGUUUUCAACAAAUUCCCUGAAUCAUCCAUCAUCUGUUCGCACAGACCUACGCAGAUAGUUUAUUAUUCCCAAAUAAAUAAAGGCAAUGCAAAAGUGUUCUACCAAAAAACACAGAAUACUGCCAUUAUUUUCCAAUUAAGUUGGAAUUACUCAAGCAAACACAGCAUGAACAUAGGGCUAAAGAAAAAUCAGGAAUCAGCUCAUUUUACUAAUUAAACAGAUCCAUUAGUUUUCCAUUUUUGACCAAGGUAGACCAAAUUUGCUCUCAACUCGGGAAACUCGACAAACGUAAUCAGCACCCAUUAAAGUAAAAGGAUUAAUAAAUUAAUUUAAUCUGUGAAAUAACAAGCAUCAGUAAGUGAGUGUAAUAUUCGUAUACUAUCAAUAUAAUCUAUAAAAUUAUAUCGUGAAUAGGUUAGAAUUUAUAAAUAAUGUUCGAUAUGCUUGCAGAGUAAUUAUCACAAAAUGUUAGUAAUUUGAAUUAUAAAAUAUUCUAUAACUGAAUGAUAUUAUAGAAAAAACUUCACAUUGUCUAUGUAUGGGUAACAUCACUGAAAGAAUUUAAUUUUCAUAACUAAUAAAAUAUGGUACAUGAUAGAUAGUGAUUGCUAACAUGAAUAAAAUCUCAAACAAUUGUAAUCUAUAUCUGAAAGAGUGUUUUAAUCUUUUUUAAAAUUAUAAGGGGAUGAUUCCUUCUUCGUUUAUAGCGCAAAGGGAUAGAACAACUCUAUAAAUUGAAGGCACUAAUCUGGUGUAUUUAUAAAGUCAAACAUAAACAUUCCCCAAGACGCUGUCACAAAUCUACACUGUUUUCACGCGCAUACAAUCAGAUCUAGUUCAACUUUUCCUUCAUCUCAAAACCCAGAAAACCAAAAGAAAACAAACAACUCAUCAAUUCCAACAUCUUUUUUGAGUCAACUACAAAAACCAAAUUCUUUCAAAGAUCAAUUAUACACGACUAUAAUCAAUUGUAAUCAGAAUAAUUAUUUUUUUCGAUCAAUUCGGUAAGAUUCAGUUCUAAAAUAAUUAAUUUUGUUUAAAAGUAACAUAAAUUCUGCUUCUACAUAGACAAAGAGCAAUUAUAAAUUAUAAAUUAUAAAUUAUUUUUCAGAUUUUCUUUUCCAGAACAGUUUAUUUAUUUAUUUUUACAUCAAAAGCAGUUGAAACUGAGAAAAGUAAUCUUCCCCAAACAUGUCCAAAAGAAGAAAAGCAGUGAUCAUAACCACGCAGCAAAAACCAAAAUAGAACAAAACAAAAAACGGAUCCAGUAGUAACGAACCAGUGAUGAGAUUCAUAUCAGAAGGAACAAUGCACUCAUCAUAUCCAGUGUCAUCAUCCUCUCCCGUUUCCGCAGGAAGGCGCGUGCCGUGUCCGCUGUAGUGCACGAACAGCACGUCUCCGUCCUCCGCCGAUCGGACCAGUGAGGUCAACGCCGACCGGAUGUUCUUCCCCGUCGGCUCCCUGUACGAUUUGUCCGUGUCGAUCAAAACGGUGAUGUUGUCUUCGGAGAAGCCGUAACGGUCGACGAGGCACCGGUGCAUCCGCCACACGUCGUUGAUGCAACCUUUGAGCUCC